rnacentral:rRNA from 1 species
UACAGAGGGUGCAAGCGUUAAUCGGAAUUACUGGGCGUAAAGCGCGCGUAGGCGGUUCGUUAAGUUGUAUGUGAAAGCCCCGGGCUCAACCUGGGAACUGCAUUCAAAACUGUCGAGCUAGAGUAUGGUAGAGGGUGGUGGAAUUUCCUGUGUAGCGGUGAAAUGCGUAGAUAUAGGAAGGAACACCAGUGGCGAAGGCGACCACCUGGACUGAUACUGACACUGAGGUGCGAAAGCGUGGGGAGCAAACAGG